GGUUGAAAUUUUGCAGGGUUGUUGAAAUCAAAUUUAGGGACUUUACUGACGGGACUCUGGGCUGGCUGCUCUGUUCACUCGUCAGCGCAAGUGGCGUGACCAUGUAAUUGGGGCACGGGGCCGGCGCGGCGCGCUGCGGGCUUGCAGAAUUUUGUUUGUUUGUUUGGCCGCGCGCUGGCGCAGCCACGGGCCGCAGUUACUGGGGCGCGCUGUCGUAACAAGCCGCGCGGUGUGGCCUGCACAUUGGGGUAGAGGGGGGGUAGUCUUCCCAGAUGUUCUAGUUAGUUGUUUAGUAAAUUUGACUUCAAUAACGAGCUUUUGUUAUGGUAGGCGCGGCAGGGCGCGCGAAUUUAAGCGCAAGUGAUUGGUGACUCGGGGCUCACUCAGGCGGAGGCUAUGCGUCUCACCUGUGGUCACGAGUUGUUAGUUCGUUCGUGAUGUAGGAAUUCAAGCUUUCGGGCGGAAGCUAUGGUCGACGCCAGAGGCCACGAGUCGUUUAAUUUAAGUUAGGUCAUAAUGUAGUCGUCAAGCUUUCGGGCGGAGGCUAUGGCCCUCGUCAGGGGUCACGCGUCAUAGUUUUUAAAAUGUAAUGUUCGUUCGGGAUUUCAAGGGCAGGAGAGGCCCCUACGUUAUUUUUUUAAAGUAAUCGAUCAAGAAAGGCUUUUCGGAAAAUGUGAGUAUGGACUUAUCUUUGUUUUAAUUUUAAGUAUUAAUUAUGAUUUGAGGUAUUCGGAAGGACUAGGGAAGUGUUUAGUGAAGUUCUCUCAUUCUCUCUCUUGUAAGGUCGUUCAAUCGUUAAGGAAGUAAAGAGAUUAUUGUUUUAAAUUGUAAUCCCGCUAUUUAAAUGUUCUUUAAAAUGAUGUUGAGUAUUUGACUUUAAGAAUAAAAUAAUUUUAAUUAAGUAUUAUGUUAUUUUGCAAAAUCUCCUUAGUUCAGCUCUCACCAGACAUCCUGUACGGGAUGACGAACCUAUGAUCCUAGGUACAGUAAAGUAUUUUAUGAAGUUAAGACUAGUUGAUGCCAAGCGAGUUGUUUCUAUGUAAAGAGCUACGAUUCUCUCCCCCCUCUGAAAGUGGAUCGUGACAGAAAUGGCGGUGGCACCGGCUAGGUGCACGUGACAGAAAUGGUAGAGUUCGCCGGAUAGGUUCUAUUUCUGGAGAGAGAGAGAGGUAGAUUUUUAUGUUUAUUAUUAAGUUAGUUUCAGCUUCUGAUAGCAGGUUAUUAAGAGUUUACUUGAGGAGAGGAUUACGGAAUUUAAUCUAAGUGGAGGAAGUCUUUGAGAUUUUUUUUUUGACGUAACAGAUGAUUAUUUGAGUAUACUUGUAAGGAUAAAGUUUAUAGUGAUAAGUUGUUUUAAGUCGUUGAAUUUAUUGUAGAUUUAUAUCGGGGAUUAUUACGUGAGGAGAAUACGUUAUAAGUUAAAUGCUUAUUAGAGAUAAUGCAAGUGGUUUAAUUUAAUUGAAGUUCAUUUUAAGAUUGUAGGUUAAGAGAAUUAUAAUUUAAAAUAAAGUUUUUUGUCGUAAAUAGGAAUUAUUUUCAAGAGAAGUUUGUUUUGUUUUCGUGCGCGUAGGAGACGAGACGUACGAAUUAAAUCAGUCGAGGGAAGGAUAAACGUUAGAAAGGAAUUAAAGAGAAAACGAGAGUUUAUGUAAAAGAGAGUUAUAGAAUUUAUAGUGAUGUUUUGUUUUAAUUAGAAAAAUGUUGAGAGUUGUUUCAGAACGACACGUCAGUGGACGUGGCAGAGUGAACACGUGACGGGGAGGUGCUGAGACCUAGCGGAGAACGGAGGAACCGCAAGCGAGGGUUGGCGCACCUGAUGGAAUUCGGUGACGUCACGGGCUCAUACGGAGACGUGGACAGGCCGUGACCUUGUUUUGAUCAGCUGUACGGUAACUUAGCGAUAAGAAAAUAGACUAUUGGUUAAAUAAAUUUAAAUUUAAGUGUGUUUUAGGAGAAGAGGAACUUUCAGUAUAUUCCUUAAGAUGAGCUGAGCAGCAGUCCAGUUUACAAGAUGACAAGAGUUCGAGAGACAAGAUACAAGAUCACUGAAACAAGAGCCAAGACUGAAGAUUCAAGAGAAGAGAAAGCUGGCAGCCAUGGACUUACAAGUGGAGAUUAAUAAGGUCAUGUAAAGUUUUAUUUUUUUUUAUGGAAGACAGUAACUGGAGUUUUUUUUUUGUUAUAAACAUUAUUUACAGAACUUUUUAGGUUAUAGUAAUGUAAUGGAACUAGUGAGUUGUGGUAGCUGUCAAAAAGAACUAAUACCUUAAGUUUAAUUUUUAAAGUUAAUUUUCUUAAUUUACAGAGGGAUUAGUAGUUUUUUUUAAACCUUAUUUAGGUUGGAAUUUAAAUACAAUAGCUUAUUAUAAAUGUGUACGAACAGUUCAAGUUCACAGUACUGAUAGGUAGGUCAGAUGAUCUUAUUGAUUUUGAUGAUUUGUUGUUUUGAGUUGAUUUUUAAGUGUUGUGAAUUAGACAAUGAAAUAGUUCUGAAAACUUAAAUUAUUUCAAGCUAAGAAAUAGUAAAGUUAAUUGUAACUCAAAGGACACCAGAAUUUAAUUUUUUUUUGAAUUAGUAAUGUUUGAAAAUUUUAUACUUUACAAGAAAGGUUAUAAACAAACAGAUCGGAUGGAACAAGGAUGCAGUAAAUCACAAUUUCAUUUAGAAUUAUUGAUUAGCUUUUGAGGUUAUGAAGUAAAAGUAAUUAUAGUUUAAAAGUUUGAAUAAAAAAAAAAUGUUUUUUUUUUUAUUUGUUUGAAAUAGAAAGUUUAAAAGUUAAUUAGUCAUGAUCUAGGUGGGUGAUGGGGUGGGAAUUGGCCACUCUUUUUCCCUAUAACCUCCCUAACAUGGCCUUCUAUUACAACUAACAGAAAUAAAGAAGAAGAAAAAUGAAGAAUUAUUAGUUAGAAUGUUUCUUUCAUGAAGAUACCUGAUGAACUUUUACUGUUUGGAAGAAUAGAAGCAAGGUUAGUCAGAUAUUUUUACUCAGAAGAAGAAGAAGAUAAAGCAGUUUUAUGACUCGACAAGCCAGAGAUUGGUGUUUCCCCUCUGCGCUUCUAUUGACUACGUUGUUUACUCUCAUGGGAUAGCUGGUUCGGCACCAUGGAGAGAGAUUGGUGGGCAUUGUGGUUGCCCCCAGAAGAAAAGAAGAGUAGAAGAGGUUAUGGGUGGGUCAUGUGAACUGACCUUCAACCCAGUUACUUCGUGGGGACUAUUUGCUGUAUAGAGAAGAUCAAGACUCAAGAGUUAGGGAAAAUCAUUGGAGGUCAUGUUUCCCUUCCUUAAGUUUUUCCUAUCAAAUUAUUUGCCUGAUUAGAUUAUGCUAAGGGUGGGAUACUUUAUGUUAGCAGUUGAAUUAAUUAAUUUUAUUUUUUUGUGUGUUUGCAUCCUUGCCCAUCGAUUGCAGUUUAGUAGUUAGUUUUGUAUUUGUCAGGCGUGAUGGUAAUGCCUGUUGAUGAUGUUUCAGAAUUGUAAUCUGUUCGUGAUGAGGAUGGCACAACUCCGAAGCAGAUGUGGGGAGAAGUUGUGAGCUGCCCUGGAAGCCAGUCCAGUAGCUGUUGGAGUUGAGUGGUGUUUGCUGAUGGCCAGCCCAGGGAGCUACUCUUCUCGACAACACUGACUUCGAGGAGUUGCACCAACCUUCACGAGAUAAGAGUUUAAUUAAUUGAAACACUGUAAGGACACUUAAUUUUUUUUGAAGAACGAAAGAAGUAUGGUAAUAAACGGAAACCGAAAAAAAAA